rnacentral:rRNA from 1 species
GAUGAACGCUAGCGGCAGGCCUAAUACAUGCAAGUCGGACGGGAUUCAGGAGCUUGCUUCUGAUGAGAGUGGCGCACGGGUGCGUAACACGUAUGUAACCUACCUUUAUCAGGGGGAUAGCCUCUCGAAAGAGAGAUUAAGCCCGCAUAAAAUCACAGCACAGCAUUGUGUAAUGAUCAAAUAUUUAUAGGAUAAAGAUGGGCAUGCGGAGCAUUAGCUAGAUGGCGGGGUAACGGCCCACCAUGGCGACGAUGUUUAGGGGAUCUGAGAGGAUGGCCCCCCACACUGGUACUGAGACACGGACCAGACUCCUACGGGAGGCAGCAGUAAGGAAUAGUGGGCAAGGGGCGGAAGCCUGAACCAGCCAUGCCGCGUGCAGGAAGACGGCCCUACGGGUUGUAAACUGCUUUUAUACGGGAAUAAACCCAGAUACGUGUAUCUGGCUGAAUGUACUGUAAGAAUAAGGAUCGGCUAACUCCGUG